AUGGAGGGUAAACAGAAGACAGAAGAAGAGGAAGCGCCUUGCGAAGUAUGCAGAGAAAGAAGACUCUCCGGGCCAGUGUCCUGUGGACUUAGACCUCUGCUCCAGGUCAGUAAAGUUUCACCCUUCAUCCACUCCGCUGCUGAUCAGUGCCCAAUUCUCUGCUCCUCUCUACCUUGUCUCUGCAGAAACUCACCUUGGAAUUCAGUUCUCUCAUCUGCUCUUGGGUGCUUCCUUCUGCAGAUGGGCCCACCAGUAAUAAUCUAUUCAUCUGAUCAGCACAAGAGGCUUUACUCUUCAGGCUUAGCUCUCAAAGGAAGUCCUGGGUGCUGAAGUUUUUUGGCUGGGUUUCUGGUAUUUACUGCUCAGAAAAUUUGUCUCCAGAGUCAUAUUUUUACAAGGACAGAUUUUCCAUAAAAAGCAAAUUUUGGACAUCAACUUGUUCUAAGACAAAAAAAAAUUAUUUGCAGAGCUAGCCCUAAGAAAAAUUGAGCUGCCUUACCUAUAAAAUGGUAAUAAUACCUGUUGUGAAGAUUAAAUGCAAUAACAGUGCUGAGCCAGGGCCUGGCACAGGAGUUGAAUAAAUUGUGCUCACCUCCCCAGGUCCCCGAAGGAGCCGCACUGCCAAGUCUGAGGGAUAUCAUUUCUCUGAGUCUGAUAAUUUCUAGAUCAGUAAACAGUCAGGGCUUACUCAGGGAGUUUGAACCUCAUGGGUGGCAUAGAAUUAAGGACUCACUACAUGGACUAGAUCUUGGGCAAGCAAUGUGGGAGCUGGUGGAAAAGCCUAGAAAGGUCAUUGCUUCUGCAUCUGACAGGGGCCUGAAGUCACUGAGGUCAGCAGGAAAGGCUAGCUGGAAGAAAAGCUAGGUGUGAAGAAGGAACCCACAGGGAUAGACUGGAGCCCAUGUCUAUUCUCACCACCAUCAAACUUGAUGAUGCAGUUAACAUGGAGAAGAUAACUGGUGCAUAUGCCAUAGAGCUAUACCCGUGCAGCCCAGGACUUGGAGAAGCUGAAGGAAGGGGUGGAUGGGAGCCGGGGGAACUGAGGGUCCAGUGCAGCGCUGCCCACAGCCUCCAGGUCAGUGAGUG
rnacentral:lncRNA from 1 species